AGGAAAUAGAUACCCGGGUAGUCCACGCCGUAAACGAUGAAUGCUAGUUGUAAUCAGUAUCGACCCUGGUUGUAAACGAAAGCUAAACGCGUUAAGCAUUCCGCCUGUGGAGUACGAGCGCAAGCUUAAAACAUAAAGGAAUUGACGGGGACCCGCACAAGCGGUGGAGCGUGUUGUUUAAAUUCGACGAUAAACGAAGAACCUUACCAAGGUUUGACAUCCUACUAAUCCCAGCGAAAGCCGGGAGUGCCUUCGGGCCGUAGAGACAGGUGUUGCAUGGCCGUCGUCAGCUCGUGUCGUGAGAUGUUUGGUUAAGUCCAUCAACGAGCGCAACCCUUAUGUUAGUUGGAUUUUUCUAGCCAGACUGCCCCGGUAACGGGGAGGAAGGAGGGGGUGAUGUCAGGUCAGUAUUACCCUUACACCUUGGGCUACAAACACGCUACAAUGGCCGGUACAAAGGGCGAGCUAAGUCGCGAGACGGAGCAAACCCCGAUCAAAGCCGGUCUCAGUUCGGAUUGUAGGCUGAAACUCGCCUGCAUGAAGCUGGAAUCGCUAGUAACGGUAGGUCA
rnacentral:rRNA from 1 species